rnacentral:sRNA from 1 species
GUCAACUACCCCGGUCUGACGACCGAGGCUUGAGCAAUCAGGCCUAAGUUGACUAGCCUCAGUCUAUCGUUAGUUGGACUACGUUGGUUAGGAAAAUAUAGGCACCGUGGGAUAUUAAUCCUAGUCCC